rnacentral:rRNA from 1 species
UCCUACGGGGGGCAGCAGUGGGGAAUAUUGGACAAUGGGGGCAACCCUGAUCCAGCCAUGCCGCGUGUGUGAAGAAGGCCCUCGGGUUGUAAAGCACUUUCAGUGAGGAAGAACGCCUGGUGGUUAAUACCCAUCAGGAAAGACAUCACUCACAGAAGAAGCACCGGCUAACUCCGUGCCAGCAGCCGCGGUAAUACGGAGGGUGCGAGCGUUAAUCGGAAUUACUGGGCGUAAAGCGCGCGUAGGUGGCUUGAUAAGCCGGUUGUGAAAGCCCCGGGCUCAACCUGGGAACGGCAUCCGGAACUGUCAAGCUAGAGUGCAGGAGAGGAAGGUAGAAUUCCCGGUGUAGCGGUGAAAUGCGUAGAGAUCGGGAGGAAUACCAGUGGCGAAGGCGGCCUUCUGGACUGACACUGACACUGAGGUGCGAAAGCGUGGGUAGCAAACAGGAUUAGAUACCCCUGUAGUCCA